GCCAUACUAGAUAUAUAAGGAUAGAUUCUACAAUGAUUUAGACCAGGAGAUUUCAAAGGAGCAGGGGCAGACAAGAACAGCUGCCUAAGUAUUGCGAACAAAUUCCCAUCACAAGGGACAACCACCUGUACCACUGUUGAGUCUUAUAUCCAGCAAGCAUCAGAAGAGAGAGUUUAAGAAGGAAAUGCCCUGAUGUUCCAUCGCACCACCUGAUAGAAUCUGUUGGCCUCGAGAGAAGAGGGGGCCUUCAUUAGAACCAGGAUAUCCUCCAACCUUCUCAAAGAGACAUCUUCAACCAGUUGACUCAAAUGAAAAUAACCAUGGUGCUCCCCCCUAAGAAUCCACUAAAAGAACGAAGCCUCGUGUCAGGCAAUAUUGGCAUCCCUCCUCAUCUGAUUUACACCUGUCAGUGGCCAGCCUACACCACUUAUACCUCAUCUGUGGUCAAGAAGCUUGUGGAGGAGGAUAAGUCAAAAAUUGAAGAGUUUCU